GUCACCAAUAACUCAGAUACAAAGACUGAAGGGCAUAAUGUAACGUUGCAGUAGGGGAAUGAGUUACGCUGGAUCCCUCUUGGAAGCUGUGAGCUUCUAUACCACAGUGUUUUCUUGUCAUUUUUUUAACAGAAACACAGCCUAAAAAAAAAAGGUUUUGGGCAUCUUCUGGUGCAUGUGUAAGAAAAAGUGUCAUAGUUCUGCCUCAAGAGUAAUGUACCACGACAUUACAGAGUGGCUGGAUAGAUUAUACACCUAUGAAGACUAAAAUAAACCAGAGUUAAAAGCCACCAAGAGGUCUGUCCCACAAAAGAUGGAGAGAAAGUUAAUGAAUAUAAUAUAGCCCCAUUCCUGAUGAUUAAUGAUCAAAAGAAAGUCAGCUAAAAAAAAAUUAAAGUGCAAAGUCUAAACUUUAUGGACUUAAAGAGUAACUUCUCCUGACAUGCUGGAGGGAAAAGGAAGUCAACUCAAGCCACUGAACUCGCUGGAUUGAACAGGCCUGUGACAACGACCUGAAUCUCAUCUCUGGCUUCAAAUGUACACCAGAAUCAUGAUGACACACUGACAUUUAUGAGAGGGCAUUCGAUGCUAAGGCCAAAAUUCACAGGUAUUGAAGAUAUACAGAAUUAACUAGGAUUAAAAAUAUCCUGGGUGCUGUGUGUAAAAUUGUUCCUCUAACAUCCAAGCAGCAGACAGGCAUAAACGCAUGCACUUGCUCCUUCUCUGCUGCUGGGAAUUCUGCCAACAUGUAGGAUUAAACCACACAUGCAUAUCAUUCCCAGAUGUGCAAUGAGGAGAACAUCCUAGAGUAUCACCUCCACAGCCUGCCCCAGGAAUCAAAGCUGUUCUCUAUCCCACCCACCACUAAUAUCUUCUCAUGAUUCAUCAGCCAGCAAUAAACUGGAACGCUGCACAAACUC